rnacentral:misc_RNA from 1 species
GAUGAAGAACGUAGCGAAAUGCGAUAAGUAAUGUGAAUUGCAGAAUUCAGUGAAUCAUCGAAUCUUUGAACGCACCUUGCGCCCUUUGGCUAUUCCGAAGGGCAUGCCUGUUUGAGUAUCAUGAAAACCUCAACUCUCAUGGCUUGCCAUGGUGAGCUUGGACUCUGGGGGUCUUGCUGGCUUUACGGUCAGCUCCUCUCAAAUAAAUCAGCUUGCCGGUGUUUGGUGGGAUCACAGGUGUGAUAACUAUCUACGCUUGUGGUUUUCCGCCAGGUAACCUUCAGCAAUGGAGGUUCGCUGGAGCUCAUAAAUGUCUCUCCUCAGCGAGGACAGAUUUUGACCGUUUGAUCUCAAAUCAGGUAGGACUACCCGCUGAACUUAAGCAUAUCAAUAAGCGGAGGA